rnacentral:snoRNA from 1 species
AACCCUGGUUGAAAAAAAUGAAUAGCUCCAUGACCUAUAUAUGCCUCUGUCAUGGGAGUGAUGGUCAUUCCUAGUGAUU